rnacentral:lncRNA from 1 species
ACAGAGGAACAAUCAACUUCGUAUUCUGAGUCACUGUUUUCACCUCAUACUCAAGAGUUCAAAAAAAAAGAAA